CGCACAUUGCGCCCCUUGGUAUUCCGGGGGGCAUGCCUGUUCGAGCGUCAUUAUCACAAAUCCAGCCUGGCUGGGUGUUGAGCUACGCAGUCCUGCGGGCUCUAAAAUCAGUGGCAGUGCUAUCCAACGCUAAGCGUAGUGAAUUCUCUCGCUAUAGUCGGUGGGUGGACGCUGGCCAACAAGCCUCAUUUUUUGGUUGACCUCGGAUCAGGUAGGGAUACCCGCUGAACUUAA
rnacentral:misc_RNA from 1 species